UACGUAGGGGGCGAGCGUUGUUCGGAAUUACUGGGCGUAAAGAGUGUGUAGGCGGUGCUCCCAGUCUGUUGUGAAAUCUCCCGGCUUAACUGGGAGGGUGCAGCGGAAACUAGAGUGCUAGAGGGUGGGAGAGGUAAGCGGAAUUCCUGGUGUAGCGGUGAAAUGCGUAGAUAUCAGGAGGAACACCUGUGGUGUAGACAGCUUACUGGACCACUUCUGACGCUGAGACACGAAAGCGUGGGUAGCAAACAGG
rnacentral:rRNA from 1 species